UACAGAGGAGCCAAGCGUUGUCCGGAUUGACUGGGCGUAAAGCGCACGCAGGCGGUCGCGCGCGUGGGGUGUGAAAUCUGGCCGCUUAACGGCCAGGCGCCAUCCCAUACGGCGCGACUGGAGGGCUGCAGAGGUCGAUGGAAUUGCCGGUGUAGUGGUGAAAUGCGUAGAGAUCGGCAGGAACACCCCAGGGGGGAAACCAGUCGACUGGGC
rnacentral:rRNA from 1 species